UGAUAACUUAAAAAUGUCCAUUUUUAUUUUACCAAGGCAACCCGAGCGGCCGCACAUGCCCAGGUCGUUUUACCAAUUAGGGCCCGGCUACGCUUAAAUGUUCACCUGUGGCUGUUUGGUUCAGUUCAGUACAUCCGCUUGGUUUCCCAACGUCUCCAACAUACGGUAAUACGGUAACGCUUUUCGAAGUAGAACGGACUACUAUAUCUGGACCUGCUGUCAAGAAGGAGAAACUGUGAUUCUGUGAGUAUCAAAAUUUCAACAUGAAGAAGAAACUGCGAACUGUAAGUCCUUAUUUCAUCUUUAAAUGUUGGGGCAUCAUUUUUGCCUCGUGGUUGGUUGAGGUUGAUGGGGGUUGUUUAGGUGGAUUUGAAUAGUCUGUGUUUUUGUUGGUACAUGGGCUUAUUCAGUGUUUGGUUUUAACAAGUUUUGAGUGCUGUGUUGCAGUAUAGGUUCCAAGUGAAGUUUGUAAGAAAAGUUGGAUUUCUCAGAGUACAGCCAAAACGUUCUCCAGGGUUGUAUUCUGAUUGGUUUUCUGCCCACCUUCCUACUACUUUCCUGAAAUUUGCAUCUAUAUCACAUGUGUUUUCUCUUGCUGAUGGUGGGAUUGUUUGAGUGAUCAGCGAUGCAUGCUAAGGUUCUGUGCUGUCCGAAGUCUACAGUUCUGUAGACGUGCCCCCUCAGGAUGAACCAAGUGUUUAAGAGGCUGUUGUAACAUCAGUUACAUGAAUUGGAAUGUCCUUCAAGAUGGUGACUGGGACUCCCCCAAGGAGAAACAUCAGGGUCAAGAUGUUGGGGUUCUUCAUCUAAGAAACUAGAACACAACCUUGGUCCUGCACCAGAGAACCAUGGAUCACAUUUCAACGUUCCCAGCCAUACAUCUUGAAGCCAUAGCGUCGGUUUCUCUACCUCCCCACCUGGAGGAGAGCACAACUUCAGUUCAGACAGGGUCUUGGUUUGGAUUUCUCCAGGAUGGUUUCUGAUUUGAGGUGACUCAUCUUUCAGGGCCCUCGGGGCUAACCUAUAACCCUGCAGUUCAGCAAGGGAUUGCUAGCAUCUGAGCCAGCAAGGCGCUCAUCUGCCUGCUGCUCAGAUGGGAUGAUGAGGAUCCUGCUGUGAAAGACCUACCAACCAAACCCUCGGUGGUCCUUCUCAACCUUCUCAAAACUUGCAUCAAAUCCUGUCCCUGUCCUCAGGCCUAUCCAAGUGGGGCGCUUUGAAUCUGAAGGAGCUCCAAGAAAAGAACCUGCCCCCCCCCCCCAAGCUUCAAAUCCACACACAUGUUGAGGUGGACCUCCACACAGUGACGGUUGCUGCGUGCCGCCAGAGCCUUGUUCCUCAUCGGUUCUCAUUCUCCUCGAGCUGUCCGUGGUGUCCGACACCUUGAAUCAACAGAUUCUCCCUGCCACUCUUGCUGAACUCAACAUUGCUGACUCUACCUGAUGGGUCCUAUGGAAUUGCUCCUUGUCCAAUCCCUGCACCCUCGACACUGUUGUCCUUCAAGGCGCUGUACUGGGGCCCCUUCUCUUCUCCCUAUAUACUAGAUCAUUGGGCUCUGUGAUCUACCCCACCCCGGACCCCACCCUCAUUGCAACAUGCAUCUCAGAAUGGCAGACAUCAGUGUUUGGAUCACGGCCCAUCACCUGAAGCUUAACCACGACAAGACUGCGCUCCUCCUUGUGUCAGGGACCGGCACAACUGUGGGUCGGUGAGUUCUCCAUGGAAUACUCACAUGGACAUACUCCCGCCUCAACUACUGCAACUCGCUCCUGACUGGAAUACCUGCCUCCACUGUCAAACCUUUGCAGCAUAUCAGAAUGCAGCACCCCUAAUGUUCAACCUACCCUCAGUCCUCUUCCAUGACCACCACUAGCUCCCCGUAGUGGCUCACAUCAGAUUCAGAACAAUGUUACAACGGAACUGCCCCUGCCUACCUCAAAGCAAGUCAGACCGCACACUCAAGCACAAGCGCACUACUCAAUUCCCUCAGUUGGACUCCUGGAACCGCCAUGGUAAAGCAAGCAAAAGUUGCACAACAAAGUCACAACUCUACUCGGUUUUGGCACCGCAGUGAUUGAACGAGUUCCUUGCCAAUGUCGGGAUUGCAGAGUCGCUCGCCAGCUUCCACAAGUUACUAGAGACUCGCUUGUUUGGAAUCGCUUGUUAUAUGAACAUCCUUACUGUACCGACAGCGAUAAUGUUUCUUUCUUCUGAAAAAGGUACUUAUUGUAAGUCACUUUGCAUGAAAGCAUCUGCUAUAUGUAAAUCUGUGAGCAUGGCCACGGUUUAAAUUGGCAUUGGUUACUUUAUGUGUGCCUAAACAGGGUUCUACCUGGCAUUGGGUACUUGCUGUGAGUGUGGCCAUGAUUCUUCCUUGCAUUGGGUACUUGCUGUGAGCAGUACCGCGGGAAGUAGGGGUGCUGGGGGUGCUGCAGCACCCCCAGCACUCCCAGCUGAGGCUGGGGGUGCUGCAGCACCCCCUGUCUGAGGCUCUGUCUUAUCACAGAAAACGAUCAUUUCUAAAAACUCUGGCCAAAGUGGAGAUUUCUGAAAACGCUGGUUAAGUGUUGUCGUGUCAACGGGGAGAAACGGGAUUUUAGGUUCUGAAGCGUCACAUUAUGCACCAGGAAAUGCUUAACGUCAUGUGAGCGCCCGCUGUACCGUAUUGCACUGUUUCGGCCCGUGGCAAAGCGAGUCAUCCUCGCUGCUGUCCAAGGCAUUUUGAGACGCAGCAUUUAUUUAAUGCUCAUAUGACCUAGUGCUGAAAAAAAGUUAUAUGAAAAAGUGUGAGGGGAGCGGUGGUGCGCUAAACUUCUUCUGUGAGCAGCUGGAUGUGAACCAUGGUGUGAACACAACGAUCGAUUUUCGACUGUGCGCGCAUGCACUGGUGUAAUUGAGCUGCGCUGCUAUGCAUCUUUUUUAUCAAUGUUCCCGCGGCUAUGGCUGUGAGCGUGGCCAUGGUUCUACCCGGCAUUGGGUACUUUAUGCGAGCAUGAUCAGGAUGGUCAUGCUUGCAGGUCCAGAUGACAAGGCCAUCCGGUCCUUGGAGAUGGGUCCCCUUGAAUCAGAAACCAUCUUGGAAAAUCCAAACAAGGAUCCUCUUUAAGCUGCAGUUAUGCUCCAUUCAGAUAAGGAGGUAAAGAAACCCUCACUGGGGCUUCAAGAUCUCUGAAGAGGAACAUUGAAAUGUGCUCAAUGGCUCUUUCCUGUAAGAGCUGGGGUGUUUUCUAGUCGCUGAGGAAGAGCCCUCACAUCCUACCCUUGACAUUUCUCCUGGGGGAGUCCCUGUCACGGUCUUGAAGGAUGUUCCAGUUCAUGUAACCAAUGUUACGACAGCCUUUUGAACACUUGGUUUCUCUAGAGGGGGCACAUCUACAGAACGGUACACUUUAGGCGGCAUCGUAUCCUACCAUUCAUCUCUGGGCGCUCGGACAAAACCCAGAUCAAUAAGUCAACGCUCAUGCAAUGUGGAUGCAAAUCUUUGAGAGUUGCAAGGACGUGGACAAAAGGCAUCUGAACACAACAGAGAAAGAUUGUUUGGUAUUUCUAGAAUUAUGGGGCUAUUUUAUUACCGUUAUGUAUUUGUUGAGGGUGCAGUUGCAGGUUAUGGUUUGGUUUCCUCUGAGCUUGAAAUUAUCUUUUGGGCAUGUCUUUUAUUCCUGGAAAUAUCUAGAAUAUUUAUAAACGUGGGCGAUAUUCUGAGAUUAAGUAUUUCAGCUUUUGGGGCAGGAUGCCAGGUUAAGGGCUCUGGCCUUACAUGGUUUAUUUUUUUGGUGAGGUUGUGAGCCUUGUUUAUUGGUGGUAGUAGUUAAUUUGUAAAAUUGGGGAACUGUAUUUUAUGUAUGUUGUAUACUAUGUAUGUUUUAGUACCAACAGCAACAAACUACUAGAUCGACUUAAGGUAGGUCUGUUGGCUGUAUUUUGAUAUGAGAAGAUUAUCAAAGGACUCCCAAGAUCUUCAUCGCCGUUCAGCUCAAGGUGUCCGUCUCCUCGCCUCCCUGCUGUCACCACCGGUCUGAAGUCCAUAACCGUGAGUGGGGCCAGCUCCAGCCCUUGUCCUGAACCUGAACAAGAUGUCCAUCGAACCGCACAGCAUGGUCGGAGGCAGGAGACGUGGAGGAGGAAGAGCUGCACCAGGCUCGCCAGUGGAAGUGGCAUUCGACAGUGUUCCCCUGGACCAGAGGCUGAGGACCAGACCCCCUGGACCAGGAAUGGGGCACCAGGAUGGACCAGAGGCUGUGGACCAGACCCCCUGGAUCAGGAAUGGGGCACCAGGAUGGACCAGACCCCCUGGACCAGGAAUGGGGCACCAGGAUGGACCAGAGGCUGUGGACCAGACCCCCUGGACCAGAGGCUGAGGACCAGACCCCCUGGACCAGGAAUGGGGCACCAGGAUGGACCAGAGGCUGAGGACCAGACCCCCUGGACCAGGAAUGGGGCUCCAGGGUGGACCGGAGCCUGUGGACCAGACCCCCUGGACCAGGAAUGGGGAACCAGGGUGGACCGGGGCCUGUGGACCAGACCCCCUGGACCAGGAAUGGGGCACCAGGGUGCACCGGGGCCUGCGGACCAGACCCCCUGGACCAGGAAUGGGGCACCAGGGUGGACCAGAGGCUGAGGACCAGACCCCCUGGACCAGGAAUGGGGCACCAGGGUGGACCAGAGGCUGAGGACCAGACCCCCUGGACCAGGAAUGGGGCACCAGGGUGGACCAGAGGCUGAGGACCAGACCCCCUGGACCAGGAAUGGGGCACCAGGGUGGACCAGAGGCCGUGGACCAGACCCCCUGGACCAGGAAUGGGGCACCAGGAUGGACCAGAGGCCGUGGACCAGACCCCCUGGACCAGGAAUGGGGCACCAGGGUGGACCAGAGGCUGAGGACCAGACCCCCUGGACCAGGAAUGGGGCACCAGGAUGGACCAGAGGCCGUGGACCAGACCCCCUUGACCAGGAAUGGGGCACCAGGAUGGACCAGAGGCCGUGGACCAGACCCCCUGGACCAGGAAUGGGGCACCAGGAUGGACCAGAGGCCGUGGACCAGACCCCCUGGACCAGGAAUGGGGCACCAGGAUGGACCAGAGGCCGUGGACCAGGAAUGGGGCACCAGGAUGGACCAGAGGCCGUGGACCAGACCCCCUGGACCAGGAAUGGGGCCCCAGGGUGGACCGGAGGGUAACCUGACCCCCUGGACCAGGAAUGGGGGCCCAGGGUGGACCGGAGGGUAAC
ensembl:lncRNA